rnacentral:rRNA from 1 species
GAGGGAAAGUUGCAAAGAACUUUGAAGAGAGAGUUCAAGAGGGCGUGAACCCGCUUGGAAGGAAACAGGUGGACCUGGCGUUAGUCUGCUGGAUUCAGCCUACUCGUGUGGGGUCGGAGGGGUCGAUUGUCAUUGACGAACACCCUAUGCCGUCAGCCCUACAUGAUAGGUGCAUUUCCAGUAGAUGCGCACUAGAGACUGCCAGGAUUCUGCGCUAAGCAGGUGUUGCCGGCCGGUGCUUGCAUCGGUGUCCCGCACUUGUGGAGCGGGAGUAAUUUUGGCGGGUAAAAGUAGGUGCCCGCCUCAGGUCGGUGUCUGCGGUCGUCUGGAAGAUUGGACUGUUUGGUGCUCCUGUCACAGGACCCGGCGACUCUCUUCUUUGCGAACGUGNCGCAUCGAGUUGGUGCCUAGCUCUGGUGUAUCUGUCGGUCACCCACCUGACCCGUCUUGAAACACGGACCAAGGAGUCUAACAUGUGCGCGAGUUAUUGGGUUGCAAAACCUAAAAGCGUAAUGAACGUGAAGACUGGCCUCGUCAGUUGAUAUGGGAUCUGUGGCUUCGGCUGCAGCGCACCAUAGUCUCGUCUCGUCUGCAUUGUCAGUGGGGCGAAGAUAGAGCKUACACGUUGGGACCCGAAAGAUGGUGAACUAUGCCUGAGCAGGAUGAAGCCAGAGGAAACUCUGGUGGAGGUCCGAAACGGUUCUGACGUGCAAAUCGAUCGUCAGACUUGGGUAUAGGGGCGAAAGACUAAUCGAACCAUCUAGUAGCUGGUU